UAUAUAUAUAUAUAUACAUGAAUUAUAUUUAUAUACAAUGGAGACACGACAUUAAAAUUGGUACUAGGCGAAAUGAAUAAACUAAACCGGUUAAGUAUAUUUCAAAGAUCUAUAUUAUGAACUAACUAAUGUUUACACAUAGUUCGAAUUCAAAAGUAGCAUAUCAUGACAAACUGGAUCUAGACGAGACCAAACACUGAUCCUCGACGUCGGAACCUUUGGGCAGUUUAGACCAAUAGUUCUUUGCCACGUCACAGGUCGUCAAUAAACACUCCCUGUUAAUAACGCUUUAAUAUUAACUACUAUUAUUAUAUAUGCUUAAUUUCCUACUAAAGCAAUAGUAAUAACUAAAAGAAACUGAAUGAUGGCCAGGUACUCGCUAGGACAGUUAUAGACAAUAAACGAUAAGCCAAUUAAUUCAAAGUAAUGACAAAACAACAGGCUUUUUAUGCUGUUUAUGCGUUAUGUAGGGCCUCAUUUUUUUUUUUUUUUUUUACAUUGCAUGUAGAAGUAUCUAGUGUUCAAUCUAUUGGAGCCACAUGAAAUAACAAAUAUUUCCAAGCAUAUUUUUACAAAAUAAUAUUUUUAAAAAAGGGUGAUAAUGCGAUAAAAUGAAAUAAUAAAAAUAUCUAACACUGAAAUAUGUUUCACAAAUUACAAGUGGUUCGUUAAUAAAUAAAAUAUUUCUUGCCAAGUAUAAUGCACACAUUUGUCGAGAUAUUCAAAAUGUGAAGGUUUUUUUUUUUUUUUAAUGUAAUAAGCUUUGACCAUUUUCAACCGUUAUUUUAGCUCCGGUGCUACAGGAUUGUGGGAUUGCAAAAGGGAACAUAAAAUUGUAAGAAUUGUAAUACUUUGGUAUAGUUUUUGAGUGCUCUCCUCUUUUCACGUGAAUCAGAAUAGAAAAUAUUUUUUUUGUAAUUUAUAAUUCAAAUUUUAGGCUGUCUUGUAUUUGUUUAAUUUUAUUUAUUCAUAUUGCUCAGUUCUUUGUUGUCUUUUUGGAAGGAUGAUAAUAUAUGGUAAGGAAAUAUUAUUUCUUGCAUAGGGGGAAUAAGAGAAUUUACGAGCUAUUAAUAUUUAAUCAAUUUCAACAAUAAAAAAAAAUUAGGUUCAAAAUGAAAAAAUUGAAAAAAAAA